rnacentral:misc_RNA from 1 species
GAUGAAGAACGUAGCGAAAUGCGAUACGUAAUGUGAAUUGCAGAAUUCAGUGAAUCAUCGAGUCUUUGAACGCACAUUGCGCCCCCUGGUAUUCCGGGGGGCAUGCCUGUCCGAGCGUCAUUGCUGACCUCAAGCACGGCUUGUGUGUUGGGCCUCCGUCCUCCUCCCGGGGGACGGGCCCGAAAGGCAGCGGCGGCACCGCGUCCGGUCCUCGAGCGUAUGGGGCUUCGUCACCCGCUCUUGUAGGCCCGGCCGGCGCCAGCCGACAACCCAUCAUCCUUUUCAGGUUGACCUCGGAUCAGGUAGGGAUACCCGCUGAACUUAAGCAUAUCAAUAAGCGGAGGA